UUCUGUUGGUACCAUGGACCGCGGACCGCGGCCCAUGGACCGAAUCGGACCAGCCGGCCCAGACGGACGGACGGGCGGGCGGACGACGAACGGGCGACGGACGACGGACGGCCCAGGGACCGAAUCGGACCAGCCGGCCCAGACGGACGGACGGGCGGGCGGACGGACGGACGGAUGGGCCCGACCGUACGAGCCCACGAGGCCCAAUGACAACAAGUGAAGGCUAUAAAUACCUCCCCUGGUCCAACUGGGGAGGAGGUUGACAAUACUGGAGAGUGAAUACUUGGGAGAGUUGAGGGUGUGAGCUUACACCGACGAGCCCACACACCAACA
rnacentral:lncRNA from 1 species